ACGGCGCAGGCGCAACAGGCAUUCCUUGAUUUCCGCGUUCUUCAGAAGGUAUAAAUAAGAAAGCAUUGUAGUUAUUGGGUCUUUCGGAGCAGGUCAAGCGCUAGGAGGUUUCUUCGUUGAAUUCUCACAGAAUUCCAAAUAGCUGCUCACAUUUGAGAAUUCUCAGAAUUCCAAAUAGCUCAGAUUCGAGGAGAGAAGAGGAGCAUCACCUUUUGGGCAGGAGUUGACAUUUAAAUACUUUGGGAUCCUUUAACAGCGA